rnacentral:rRNA from 1 species
UACGUAGGUGGCAAGCGUUGUCCGGAUUUAUUGGGUUUAAAGGGUGCGUAGGCGGUUUUUAAGUCAGUGGUGAAAUACGGCAGCUCAACUGUCGAGGUGCCAUUGAUACUGGGAACUUGAGUACUGAUGAGGUAGGCGGAAUGGACGGUGUAGCGGUGAAAUGCUUAGAUAUCGUCCAGAACACCGAUAGCGAAGGCAGCUUACUAAGGAGUAACUGACGCUGAGGCACGAAAGUGUGGGGAUCAAACAGG